UACGUAGGGUGCAAGCGUUGUCCGGAAUUAUUGGGCGUAAAGAGCUCGUAGGCGGUUUGUCGCGUCUGCUGUGAAAACUCAGGGCUUAACCCUGAGCCUGCAGUGGGUACGGGCAGACUAGAGUGUGGUAGGGGAGAUCGGAAUUCCUGGUGUAGCGGUGGAAUGCGCAGGAUAUCAGGAGGAACACCGGUGGCGAAGGCG
rnacentral:rRNA from 1 species